rnacentral:misc_RNA from 1 species
GGAAGGAUCAUUAUCGUACAAAAUGUGAGGGGCAUGCGAGGGCUGUCGCUGACUCAAAGUCGUGCACGCCCGAGUGUGUCCUCUCACAUAAAUAAUCCAUCUCACCCUUUGUGCAUCACCGCGUGGGCACCCUUUGGGAUCAUCUCGGAGGGGGCUCGCGUUUUCACACAAACCCCCCUUUUAAAAGUGUAGAAUGACCUCAUUUAUGCGCUAACCCGCAAUCAAUACAACUUUCAACAACGGAUCUCUUGGCUCUCGCAUCGAUGAAGAACGCAGCGAAAUGCGAUACGUAAUGUGAAUUGCAGAAUUCAGUGAAUCAUCGAAUCUUUGAACGCACCUUGCGCCCCUUGGUAUUCCGAGGGGCACACCCGUUUGAGUGUCGUGAAAACCUCAACCUCCUUGGUUUCUUCUGGAGACCAAAGCAGGCUUGGACUUUGGAGGCCUUUGCUGGCACCUCUCUUUUGAAGGCCAGCUCCUCUUAAACAAAUUAGCAGGGUCCUCUUUGCCGAUCCUCGACGUGUGAUAAGAUGUUUCCAUGUCUUGGUUUCUGGCUCUGUCACUUUUGGGACCCGCUUCUAACCGUCUUGAGACCUUGCGUCGAGACAACGUUCGAGCAUGUCUCCCUUUUCUCGGGAAGCUCCCUCGACCCCACGAACCCUUGACCUCAAAUCGGGUGAGACUACCCGCUGAACUUAAGCAUAUCAAUAAGCGGAGGAAAA